AGACAAACACACCACCACACCUCCAUCUACAUCCACACCUCCUGCUGUUCUCUCUGUGUUGUCAUGUGUUGGAUCAGUCUGUGUUGUUGUUCUACUGGUGUUACUAGUGAGACGAUAUGUUCACAAAAAUCCUGAAGUAGCCAACUUCUCAUCAAUGUGUCCUGGUUUCUCAACACCUGAUGCAGCUCUUGUUAAUGCGGGUGACGCCCAAGCUGGUAUGGCUUCUGUUAUCUGUCUCUUGUUCAUACCUCAGACUUUAAUCCAGAGCCAGAUGUCAUCUACACUUCACUGAAGUAGUCCACCAGUCCACCCAACUGGUCAGACCAGCUCUGGAGCCCAGACGACAUCCACAAUUUCAAAAGAUUACUCUAUGUAUUUUAUGUCUUUUCCCCAUUUAUUUAGACUCAUAUGCUUUAAGAAAUCACAUAAGCAUAACCGGAAUUAUGUAAGUACUUAA